rnacentral:rRNA from 1 species
UAUUUAUUAGAUAAAAAACCAAUGCCCUUCGGGGCUCCUUGGUGAAUCAUAAUAACUUAACGAAUCGCAUGGCCUUGCGCCGGCGAUGGUUCAUUCAAAUUUCUGCCCUAUCAACUUUCGAUGGUAGGAUAGUGGCCUACCAUGGUAUCAACGGGUAACGGGGAAUUAGGGUUCGACUCCGGAGAGGGAGCCUGAGAAACGGCUACCACAUCCAAGGAAGGCAGCAGGCGCGCAAAUUACCCAAUCCCGACACGGGGAGGUAGUGACAAUAAAUACUGAUACAGGGCUCUUUUGGGUCUUGUAAUUGGAAUGAGUACAAUUUAAAUCCCUUAACGAGGAACAAUUGGAGGGCAAGUCUGGUGCCAGCGGCCGCGGUAAUUCCAGCUCCAAUAGCGUAUAUUAAAGUUGUUGCAGUUAAAAAGCUCGUAGUUGAACCUUGGGCCUGGCUGGCCGGUCCGCCUCACCGCGUGUACUGGUCCGGCCGGGCCUUUCCUUCUGGGGGAACCUCAUGCCCUUCACUGGGCGUGUUGGGGAACCAGGACUUUUACUUUGAAAAAAUUAGAGUGUUCAAAGCAA